CUCAGGAUGAACGCUAGCGACAGGCCUAGCACAUGCAAGUCGAGGGGUAUUGGGUCUUCGGACCCGAGAGACCGGCGCACGGGUGCGUAACGCGUAUGUAACCUGCCUUACACCGGGGGAUAGCCUUCCGAAAGGGAGAUUAAUACCGCAUAAUAUUAUAUAGCCACCUGGUUGUAUAAUUAAACUUCGGUGGUGUAAGAUGGACAUGCGUAUGAUUAGCUAGUUGGCGGGUAACGGCCCACCAAGGCGACGAUCAUUAGGGGUUCUGAGAGGAAGGUCCCCCACACUGGUACUGAGACACGGACCAGACUCCUACGGGAGGCAGCAGUGAGGAAUAUUGGUCAAUGGACGGAAGUCUGAACCAGCCAUGUCGCGUGCAGGAUGACUGCCCUAGUGGGUUGUAAACUGUCUUUUGUAUGGGAAGAAAGGUGGGGUACGUGUACCUCUUUGCCGGUACCAUACGAAUAAGGAUCGGCUAACUCCGUGCCAGCAGCUGC
rnacentral:rRNA from 1 species